GGUCAAGCCCAUGAGAAAUUCCAGCUGAUGCUCAUGAGGAUUUAUGAGCAGCAUACCAGUAUUCAAAAGCAAAGAAAAGGGCUGCCAUGGUUAGAAGUAAAACUAAGAAUUGAGCCUUCAACACCUGAUUUAGUGAUUCAGCCAUCAGUGCCUAACAAAACCAACAAACUCAGGAAUCUGGGACUGGUUUCAGUAGGACCUGCAUCUCAAUGAAGUCCCUAGAACUGGGAAAAAAGAACAUCCAUUCUCUAAGAGCAAUUCUGAACUCCUAUGCUUCUACAAACAAAAGAGGAAGAAGCUCCAAGCCAACAGAUGAUCCGAGGCUGAUGCUAGUCUGAGCAAGAAGGAGCAUCACCAUCUGGAAGAGCUUGGGACAGUGACAACAGGCAGGAUUACACUUUUUACCAAAGACAGAAGCAGUAGCAGCCUGGCCAGGACCGGGCUCACACCCUAAGCUGGGCUGACUCCCAGCAUCUAAUUUUGUCUAAUCCCUAAAUGCUACCAAAACAUCGUAUUUUCUUCUCAUGACGUGACUGUAAAGAAUCUGAAAUAAAUGCUGUAUUUUCAUA